UGCGUAACGCGUGAGCAACAUGCCCGUAUCAGGGGGAUAAUCCAGGGAAACUUGGUCUAAUACCCCAUAGUAAUUUUGUAAGGCAUCUUAUAAGAUUUAAAGCUUUGGUGGAUACGGAUUGGCUCGCGUGACAUUAGCUGGAUGGUAAGGUAACGGCUUACCAUGGCUAUGAUGUCUAGGGGUUCUGAGAGGAAGGUCCCCCACACUGGAACUGAGACACGGUCCAGACUCCUACGGGAGGCAGCAGUGAGGAAUAUUGGACAAUGGAUGGAAAUCUGAUCCAGCCAUGCCGCGUGAAGGAAGAAGGUCCUAUGGAUUGUAAACUUCUUUUGUAUGGGAGCAAUAAGGCCUACGUGUAGGUUGAUGAGAGUACCAUACGAAUAAGCACCGGCUAACUCCGUGCCAGCAGCCGCGGUAAUACGGAGGGUGCAAGCGUUAUCCGGAUUUAUUGGGUUUAAAGGGUGCGUAGGCGGUUAUUUAAGUCAGUGGUGAA
rnacentral:rRNA from 1 species